AUGAUGAUGAUGAUGAUGAUCAGGACUCAUGAUGAUGAUGAUGAUGAUCAGGACUCGAUGAUGAUGAUCAGGACUCAUGAUGAUGAUGAUCAGGACUCAUGAUGAUGAUGAUGAUGAUCAGGACUCGAUGAUGAUGAUGAUCAUGACUCGAUGAUGAUGAUGAUGAUCAGGACUCAUGAUGAUGAUGAUGAUCAG
rnacentral:lncRNA from 1 species